rnacentral:rRNA from 1 species
AACCAGCUCUUCAAGUGGUCGGGAUAAUUAUUGGGCUUAAAGUGUCCGUAGCUGGUUUAGUAAGUUCCUGGUAAAAUCAGGUAGCUUAACUAUCUGCAUGCUAGGAAUACUGCUAUACUAAAGGGCGGGAGAGGUCUGAGGUACUACAGGGGUAGGAGUGAAAUCUUAUAAUCCUUGUAGGACCACCAGUGGCGAAGGCGUCAGACUGGAACGUGCCAGACAGUGAGGGACGAAAGCCAGGGGAGCGAACCGGAUUAGAUACCCGGGUAGUCCUGGCCGUAAACGAUGCAUACUAGGUGAUGGCGUGGCCAUGAGCCGUGUCAGUGCCGUAGGGAAACCGUUAAGUGUGCCGCCUGGGAAGUACGGUCGCAAGGCUAAAACGUUAAAGGAAUUGGGCGGGGAGCACCACAAGGGGUGAAGCCUGCGGUUC